CGCUUUGGUGGUGAGACGUACAGGUGUCCGAGCCUCUUUGGCUCUGUCUCCCUGACUGCAGGAGCCUAGGGCCGACGCCAGGACGCCCGCGAAGGCGGAGGAUGGAGUCGGUGACCUUUGAGGACGUGACUGUGAACUUCACCCUGGAGGAGUGGGCUCUGCUGGAUCCUUCCCAGAAGAAGCUCUACAAAGAUGUGAUGCUGGAAACCUUCAGGAGCCUGGCUGCUAUAGGAAAAGCACAGGAAGAACAAAACACUGAAGAUGAGCACAAAAACUUGAGGACAAUGCUAAGAAGUGAAGGAUGGAAGGGACUCUUUGGACAUACUGAAGGUAGUCACUCUGUCGAAUUCUUCAACCAGACUACAGAGCAUAUGGCGAACCAGAAAACUCAUCCAUCAGUAACACCACGAGAAAGCCGCCUGUGUGAAAAAGUCCUCAUUGCUCCUUCAUCAGUAAAUGUCCUCCACAGAACUUUCAUGGGACACAAGCCAGAUGAGUGUCAGGAACAUGGAAGGGAAGCUGUGUGAACAUAAGAAAUGUGGACAAGCCUCCCGUUCUCCCCAGUGCCUGCAGAAGCAUGACAUGACUCUCACUGGAGAGAAACCACAGGAAUGCUUGAUCAAGUUUUAGAGGAAGACAAUAUAAUUAUUUAUGACCUAUGGACACCUGGAGGAAGUGUGUGAGAAAUUUAUCCCGGAUACUUCUUUAGAACAAGAUCAGUGGCAGUAUCUACACCAGAACAUCUUUCCUUUUUGUCCAGAAUGAAUAAGGGUACAGACGUGCUUUGUGGCAAGGAAAAAGUCAGCUUUUCCUUAGUGAUCAGGAGUGAGAAGCACUUUCAUGGCGUUGAAUCUCAGCGGAGUAAGUUGAAUCAUUGCCGUACCCGUAUGCUUGCUGGUAUGAAGGAAAAAAGGAAAACUUUGGUAACUAAUAAAUUCCAUCACCAGGCGCUGGUGCUCACUCCUAUAACCCUAGCUACUCAAGAGGCAGAGAUCAGGAGGACUGUGGAUCAAAGCCAGCCAGGCAAAUA